ensembl:lncRNA
UUGAUGCCUUAACAAACCUUUGAAUGCUCUACAUUGUUAUUAUUCCUUUAUAGCAUGCAGCUAACAUUGAAAGGAUAUAUUACAUUUCCGAGGCAAAGUGUUGCACUGUUUUGAAUUCUCGUACAUGGUUAACUAUACUGAACAAAAAUAGGAACGCAAAAUGUAAAGUGUUGGUCCCAUGUUUCAUGAGCUGAAAUAGAAGAUUCUAGAAAUGUUCUACAUGUACAAAACGCUUAUUUCUCUCAAUUUCUGGGCAUAAAUUUGUUUACAUUCCUUUUAGUGAGCCUUUCUCCUUUGCCAUAUAAUCUAUCCACCUGACAGGUGUGGCAUAUCAAGAAGCUGAUUAAACAGCAUGAUCAUUACACAGGUGCACCUCGUGCUUGGUACAAUAAAAUGCUACUCUAAAAUGUGCAGUUUUGUCACACAGUACAAUGCCAAAGAAGUCUCAAGUUCUGAGGGAGUUUGCAAUUGGUAUGCUGACUGCAGGAAAGUCCACCCGAGCUGUUGCCAAAGAGUUAAAUGUUCAUUUGUCUACCUUAAGCUGCCUCCAAUAUCCUUUUAGAGAAUUUGGCAGUAUGUCCAACUGGCCUCACAACCGCAGACUACAUGUAACUACGCCAACCCAGGAUCUCCACAUCCUGCUUCUUUACCUGUGGGAUGAAACUGUGGCACAACAGGAAGAUUUCUGCACAAACUGUUAGAAACCUCAGGGAAGCUCAGGGAAGCUCAUCUGCAUGCUCAUCGUCCUCACCAGGGUCUUGACCUGACUGCAGUUCGGCGUCGGUACAGACUUCAGUGUGCAAAUGCUCACCUUCGAUGGCCACUGGCACACUGGAGAAGUGUGCUCUUCACGGAUGAAUCCCGGUUUCAACUGUACUGGGCAGAUAUCAGACAUAUGGGCAAAGUGCCCCAUGGUGGCAGUGGGGUUAUGGUAUGGGCAGGACAACCAACACAAUUUACGGACAACCAACACAAUUGAAUUUUAUCAAUGGCAAUUUGAAUGCAGAUACCGUGAUGAGAUCCUGAGGCCCAUUGUCAUGCCACUGGUGGGUGGCACCAUGGUACCAUGGCACAGAGCAAAAGGCUGAGGCACUGCAACAUGUCUCUCUGGGUGAAGAAAACAAACAUUUACAAAAAAGCUCUAAAUCUAAAAAUGAACGGAAAUAAUUAUGUGCCUGUCUCCUCCUCUUUUUGUUAACCAGCAAUUGACUUUGUGUGUGUGGGGGGGAAUAAUGAUGAAUGCACAAAUUCUGUCUACAAAUGUUCUAUAAUCUGGCUAUUUAGAAAUGGAAAUCAAAUGGGUUCCAGAAAGAAAUCCAUAUUGUGUCACUGCUGGAUUAUUACAUUGCAUAUUAAGAUAGAUCAUUAGUAUUUCCCCAUAGCCUUAGGGAUGUAGAUCUCAAUAUGCUGUACACAAUGUACACAUUUUAUAGAACUGGGGGGAGUCAGGGAAAUGUUGACAUGAUGUCCAGCUGAAGUUGCAUGGUGAAGGGACAUUUUGUCCAGCUGAGACUGCAUGUGAAGGGCUGUUCUGACAUGAUGUCUAGCUGAGGCUGUAUGGUGAAGGGAUGUUCUGACAUGAUGACUGACUGAGGCUGUAUGGUGAAGGGAUGUUCUGACAUGAUGACCGACUGAGGCUGUAUGGUGAAGGGAUGUUCUGACAUGAUGACCGACUGAGGCUGUAUGGUGAAGGGAUGUUCUGACAUGAUGACUGGCUGAGGCUGUAUGGUGAAGGGAUGUUCUGACAUGAUGACUGGCUGAGGCUGUAUGGUGAAGGGAUGUUCUGACAUGAUGACUGACUCAGGCUGUAUGGUGAAGGGAUGUUCUGACAUGAUGACUGACUGAGGCUGUAUGGUGAAGGGAUGUUCUGACAUGAUGACCGGCUGAGGCUGUAUGGUGAAGGGAUGUUCUGACAUGAUGACCGGCUGAGGCUGUAUGGUGAAGGGAUGUUCUGACAUGAUGACAGACUCAGGCUGUAUGGUGAAGGGAUGUUCUGACAUGAUGACCGACUGAGGCUGUAUGGUGAAGGG